rnacentral:lncRNA from 1 species
CAAUGAUGUAUCUAAACGACUUAAUUUCCUUGCCAGUGGGUUUAGUCAUUUUCUUAGCCAUUAUAUUUCCACCAAUUAUCUUCCUCAACUACAAAAUGUUUAAGAUUUCCAGAAAAAUGCGACGCGACAACACAGCAUCACCCGAGGAAUCAACCUUGUAUGUUAAUUUAAAGAACAUUCAUACCUGUUUGUUGGCAGUUGCCUGUCUCGUGUUGAUCUACACUCCUGCUUUCUUCUUCAUUGCGUUUAACUUCGCUGAGAAGUCGACGUCAAAAAAAACGACUGUGUCUCAAUUUUGGGCUGGUACUAUAGCUGCUACGAAUUCCACAUUGAACUGUGUGAUCUUUUUCUGGAAGAAUGACGUUUUGCGCAGAGAAGGAAAAAAGGUAUUGAAGACUUUGAAAAACCGUCUUUUCCCAUGCUGAAGUUGGCCAAGCUUAAAUGAUCAAUGUUUUUGACACUAGUUCCGUAAAACGAAUUGUUCAUCAGGACAUAUAACAUGCACGUCUGUCGUUUGUAGGUUAAGGAUAAAAAAUCAGCCAAAUUUGGCGAGGUUAUUUAUUAGAAAACAGUUGAAUAGAAUUGUAGCUAAUAAUAAUCACUGAAUGUUUUCAUACUACUG